AAGGAUAAUGGUGAAUGAUCUUUCUCAACAUCAAGUGAAUUUUCCGGUUCUUAAAACUCUUCAUUUGAAAAGGGUUUGUUUCGAACUUCAUGAAAAUCUCGUGAAAAUUCUAUCAGGUUGUCCUAUGCUAGAGGAAUUAAAAAACAAAAUAUUUACGUGUUGAUUCAUUAGUGGAUUCACUUGUUCCAAAGAAAGAGUUAGGGGGAUUGUUGCCUAAUUUGUUCAAAGCAACGAUUUCUUAUGAUAGUAUUAUUCCGGUUACCUUCGUUCGUAAUGUGGAGAGUUUAUGCUUGCAAGUGGUAUUGUUAAUAAUAUGUUAUGCUCAAGAAAAUUGUGCUUUCAUUAUGUUUUGUUGAGUGUCUGGUAGGUAGGU
rnacentral:lncRNA from 1 species